CUCACUUCAGCCUGAGUAACAAAGCCGAGACUUUGUCUCAAAAAAAGAAAAGAAAGAAUCACUAUAAAAGGAGGUGCUAAACAUGUUGGCUUUCUUACCUGAAUUUUUUCUUUAUUCUUUAGGUAUAUAAGAAAAAAAAAAUUCAUAGGAAUAGUGUGAAGUAACCCUAAUGAUUUGUUCUAAUUUACAUAGUUCACACAACCCAUAGCCUAGAGAAAGUACCAAAGAACAGCUUUGCAGAGGACUAGGGUACUCCUGUGGGAAGAGGAGUCUUUUCUUCUCUGAUGGUUCUCUUGAGUUUACUUUGCUGCUAAAAGUGAGGUGGAUUGAAGGGAAAAUUUUCUUCUUUUUUUCAAGCUUUGCCAGAACACUUAGCUUAACAAACAGCUGUUUCAACUCUUAAUUGUGUCCUCGAAUUUCCAGGGAUGCUUUCUGACCUCUUAUUAGCAGCACAGCUAGGACUGGCUGGCAUGCUUUGUGGUGCCAAACAUAGCUGUAGCCAACCUGGAAUGUGUCCAAGCCGAACAAGAUACUGAAGUCAGAAGGAACAAGUGGUACAAAUUCUCUCUUAGUCAGAGUCUGGAAAGUCAUCAUAUUGAAAUUCAUGCAGGCAGAUCUGACACACUCCUGAAAAUUUUUUUAUGAACUGACAUUUCAGUUCUUCCAGGCCCUGAAUAGUACAUUUCAGUCAACAAGACAUUAAUAUCUCUUUUUAAAUUUGCCAAUAGAAGCCAGCUCUUAGAGUGUAGGGACACUAGUGAUAAACUUAGGGCUCGAUUUGAAUAUUGCAUCAGUGACUUGCAUUAACAUGCUAACCAUAUGAUAUUCAAAAAAUAAUGAAUUUGCAUCUGUAUUGGGAACUGUCAGUUUGACUUCAAGAGUCAGUUUGAGCCUCUGCUUUAAGCAUUCAUAAAUUUUGAGUGUCUGUGCUCUUCGUUAGUACUGUGAUAAUCCAUGUUUUGAGUAAGUAAUGCUGUCUUUAAAGCCAAGGGGUGCAUAUGUUUUGAUUUGUUUUUCUAGUAGUGGUAGGUACAUUUGCAUCAGAGAAUCAACAAGUUUUAAACACCACUGUCUCAUGACCAGUGCCAUCUUUGGGUAGACUGGUCAGCCAGAGACAGGAGCAUUCUUUGACCAGUCCAGUCCAUACCUAUCCACAGUCUUUGUCUCAGACUCUUACAUUCUGACUUACCAGCUGCGCUCAGAAGCAGCAAAGGAAUAAAUUAGAGGUUUUCUCUACAUAAGGUUGAUUAUGUCAUCUUAUGUUUUGCCUUCUUAAAUUUUUAUCUCUUUGGCUCAUGGUCUUGUGGUGUAAAGAAACCUUCAGUUUUGCUAAGAAUUGGGGCUGCUAUUCCUUGUUUCAGCAUAAAAUCAUUUAAAUAAGUUAGCUUUGAUAUAUCCCACUUUGAACUCUUAGGUUAGUGGUUAAGUUGAUAUAAAAUGAGGACAGUCAUAAAUUAAUACAGUUCUGAGAUAUUCUUUUUAUAUAUUAUGUAUAGGUCAGUCAGCAAGCUUUUGAGUUUGUGCCAAAGAGACAGUUUCCGUCUACUAGGAGUUUGAACUGGUAAGGCAGUAUGUCCCUAUGCAACAGUUUGUAAAGGAGGCAGUUAUAUGACGUACAUACUCUAAUUAAACACUGAUUUAAAAGAUUUAUAGUAAGAUAGCAUCAGAUGUAGUGAUAUGUACUGUAAAUUAUUUUGGACUCUAUACUAGGAAAUACUGCAUUAGAGUACAGAGACUUAAAGAUGUUGAGUAACUUGUGUAAAAUCCCACAGCUGUUAAGUGGGAGAAGCAGGCAUUUGAACAUCAUUUUAUCUGGUUGAGAUUUGAACUGUGGCCGAUCAGAAGACAGGCAUUUACCUUAAUGAAAGAGACAGCAGCAUUUUUUUUUUUUUUUU